UCCCCGCUCGGUCUCGAACAGAUGCCGUGGGCGCCGACUUGCCACAGAUCUUGUGGGCCGUUGCAACCGCCUCCGUGGGUGCGCGCACUCAGAUAUAAAGCUAGCUGGGCACCGCGAACGCCCCCUCAACCAUCCCAUAUCUACGCCAUUGGGGCCUAUGCGUCGCUGUGCCGUCGUGCAGUCUGUGCGAUCCGAGGAGAGAGAGAAGGUGAGCCACGACCGCUGUAACAACGUCGCUAGGUCUGGGUGCCUCACCACUGUUCGUGGAGGCUUUCCAGUGCGGCUUCAUGUGGGGUCUUCGUCGACCAUGGCCGUAAUGGCUCGCUGAUGUUUAGCUUGCCAUAGAUCCAUCUCGGGUGUGGGGCAUCGCCAUCAAUCUCGUCAACCCCGGUGAGGAGACAACAAACUUUUGUUGUACCAAGGUGGUGAAAAGUGAAGAUAAUCAAGAAUGAAGCUGCCGGAGGACCAGGUCCUCCUUAAAAACUUUUAUGUAAAGAACUUAAUGGGAGGAGCUUUUACCUCCCAGGUAUUGUAAUAAUACUUUUCUGCACUCGCUUAUACUCUGGUCUGUAUUAAACGACUUACUCUUACUUUUAAAUAAAUGUAAGUUUAUGUAAUCACUUC